rnacentral:miRNA from 1 species
UAGCUCUUCACCAGGAAAUGCUAAAUGCAGGUUCAUGGGCACUAUCUCCAGAGAUAUGGCCUCAGCAGGCCUGGGGUGGGGGCCAGGAAUCUGCAUUUUGACCCAGCUGCCCACGAUGGCAGUGAUGCAAUGG